rnacentral:rRNA from 1 species
CUCCUACGGGAGGCAGCAGUGAGGAAUAUUGGACAAUGGGGGCAACCCUGAUCCAGCAAUGCCAUGUGUGUGAAGAAGGCCUUAGGGUUGUAAAGCACUUUAGUUGGGGAAGAAAGCUUUGAGGUUAAUAGCCUUGAGGAAAAGGACGUUACCCAAAGAAUAAGCACCGGCUAACUCCGUGCCAGCAGCCGCGGUAAUACGGGGGGUGCAAGCGUUAAUCGGAAUUACUGGGCGUAAAGGGUCUGUAGGUGGUUUGUUAAGUCAGAUGUGAAAGCCUAGGGCUCAACCUUGGAACUGCAUUUGAUACUGGUAAACUAGAGUACGGUAGAGGAAUGGGGAAUUUCUGGUGUAGCGGUGAAAUGCGUAGAGAUCAGAAGGAACACCAAUGGCGAAGGCAACAUUCUGGACCGAUACUGACACUGAGGGACGAAAGCGUGGGGAUCAAACAGGAUUAGAUACCCUGGUAGUCCACGCUGUAAACGAUGAGUACUAGCUGUUGGAGUCGGUGUAAAGGCUCUAGUGGCGUAGCUAACGCGAUAAGUACUCCGCCUGGGGACUACGGCCGCAAGGCUAAAACUCAAAGGAAUUGACGGGGACCC